GAUGAACGCUGGCGGCGUGCCUAAUACAUGCAAGUCGAGCGAACGGACGAGAAGCUUGCUUCUCUGAUGUUAGCGGCGGACGGGUGAGUAACACGUGGAUAACCUACCUAUAAGACUGGGAUAACUUCGGGAAACCGUAGCUAAUACCGGAUAAUAUUUUGAACCGCAUGGUUCAAAAGUGAAAGACGGUCUUGCUGUCACUUAUAGAUGGAUCCGCGCUGCAUUAGCUAGUUGGUAAGGUAACGGCUUACCAAGGCAACGAUGCAUAGCCGACCUGAGAGGGUGAUCGGCCACACUGGAGCUGAGACACGGUCCAGACUCCUACGGGAGGCAGCAGUAGGGAAUCUUCCGCAAUGUGCGAAAGCCUGACGGAGCAACGCCGCGUGAGUGAUGAAAGUCUUCAGAUCGUAAAACUCUGUUAUUAGGGAAGAACAUAUGUGUAAGUAACUGUGCACAUCUUGACGGUACCUAAUCAGAAAGCCACGGCUAACUACGU
rnacentral:rRNA from 1 species